GGAGAAAGAAACGGAGGGAGGGAGGGGGGAGAAAGAAACCUUCUCCCCCCCCUCCCUCCCUCCCUGUUUCUUUCUCCCUCCUUCCCUC